GCGAAGUUCUUCAAAGCUGAUACAAUAUUACUGUUACUAUCUUCAAUGUGCCCCUGGUUCUGCUUAUUUCACUUUGUGUCAGUUAAUUUAAGUCUUACCAGGUUUUUUCCCUAAAAAAAUCAUGAAUUCAUAAUUUCUGAUAGCCCAAAGCCCCAUUUUAUAGUUGAAGAGCCUAUAAGCACAUGAGAUGAGACAAGCUGAGGCAGGAGCACUCAGCUGAAAGUCAGCUGAGUCUGAUUCCUCCCAAUGUUAACAGGAGGCUUCCCAUCAGCUGUAUCUAAUUCCUGCUGGGUCUACUGUGGCAGAUGAAGGAGUGAUUCCGCCCAGUGAACUGUGGAGUUAGGUUUCCCAUCCAGAAGCCAAGUGAAAAGCCCUAAUACCUAAGACAAGCUGAGCUUUACUGAGAGAAGUUCCUAGUGAUUCCCACAGCGAUCUCUGGUUACAAGCCCUGCUCACUCAAAAGAAAGAGCCAUCUCCUGCUGGGCCUUCUAGGUUCCCAUUAAUGAACAGAUGUGUCUUCUCCUGCUAUGGAAGAUAUGUAGGGGGAAAUGGGCUUGCCCUAUCAGCCCCCUGCAGCUUGGGAUACAAGGAUGGAAAUCAGUGGAAAUGAAGGCUUGUGAGCAGGAAUCUAAGAAGAUGUUGGAUCCAAACCCAUUCCAGGAAUCAGAAAGCAGCCAUGGAGGCUAUACAGACAAAAGCCACAAGGUCCAUGGAUUCCAGGAGAGCAAUAUGGCCAAGCGAGACAUCUCACCUAGCAAAGAACAGCGGGGACUUUGUGGGGCACUCUAUGGCGCUCUAUCCACUGCUCCACUGCUGCCGGAUAUAUAUGAUAGCUAUUAUUAUUCCUGCCUUCCUGCCCAGAGUGCUAUCUGCUACAACACCUAGAUGAGGGCUAAAACACUGAUGAAAAUCCCAAGACUUUGUGCACAAAGGUUCAAAAGGACCUGGAGUUGGAACCAAAGGACGUACAGGUUUUACAUCUCAACUCAGUCACUUACUAUCCAUGUAGCCUUGGGCAAGACACAGUUCUCUGAAUCUGUUUCUUCAUCUAAAUCUCUGAUCCUUGGUCCUGAUACCCCUAACAUCUCCAAUCUUAACCCAAUUCCUUGACUGUGAGAAUGGGCAAAGAUGGUAUUUAAUGGUAGAAACCCCAGACUAUCGCUAACCUCUUGUCUCCCAAAUGGAUUGCAAUCAAGGAAUCAAAGGCAGGAACAGAAACUCCAGAGAGUCUGAAAAAUCUCUCCAAGGGAAUGCAAACAAUGACAGUAGUACUGGAACAUUCCAUGGGAAUCUCUUUUUUAGUUCUUAGUUUGAGGGUGUCCAGCUUGGUCUGGUUACUCCAACUCCAGAAUUUUUAAAUAAAUAGCAACUGAUAAGCA
rnacentral:lncRNA from 1 species